AAGAGUUCCAAUAUUUCAAACUGGGAGAAAAAAAAAGGAUGAGUUCUUCUCUGGCAAACACUCCACAGGAAUCCACAACACCAGGAUGAAUGGCAGUAUGGGUCACCCAACCAUCCAGGGAAAAGUAAAAAGGGGAUGAACCCUGUACCUCCUCAGACCUUUUGGGUGAGAAGGCUGCACUUAUAGGAGAUAAGUCUCUGCUUGUCUGUGAUCCCUGUAUUCAUACCAUUUGGUUUAUACCCUAUUAAGUACAAAAUAUUUCCGAGGCAUAUGAACAAACUGUCCCAUUUCAGCAAGGAAACUUGAGCUAACAUAGUUUUAAAUGAUUCAGUACUCUCAGAAAAAGUAUAUCCUUGCUCAAUGAGAGCAGGGUGUCCAUUCUUGCUUUUGAUAUGGGGUUCAUUGGAAACAUUUGGGACAACUUAAAAAGAUCUUUUGACACAUCCUGGAUAGUAUCUUAUGCUAUAAUGAGAAUAAUAAUAAUAAUAAUAAUAAUAAUAGUAAUAAUAAUAAAUAUUGCCUAAGUGUCUUGUACAACACAUCUCUUGGCAAUGCUCUAUCUGCAUAGGUAUACUUCAACUACUGAUGGUUCUUGAGCAUCCAGACUAAGGCCUACCCAGAGAGGCUAUUUAUUAUAGCUUAGCUCAUAGAAAUUCCCCAGGGUUCUGUUUAGGUUCCCUCCUUACACCCUGAGAUGCCCUCUGGGAUGGCUGUCCUUUCAGGGCUGGUAGUCAAUGAAGGCUAAGAAACUGUUUGGCAGCUCAACAUAAGACACACAUAAUCAACCAUAUGGAAGGCCAUCUGAGGUGGGGCCAAAAAACUCUGACUCCUACUGUGCUAUCAAAAAUUAAAAUAAGCCAGGUAGUGGUGACACGUACCUUUCAUCCCAGCACUUGGGAGGCAGAGGUGGAUUUCUCAAUAUGAGGACAGCCUGUUCUACAGAGUGAGUUCUAGGACAGCCAGUGCUAUACAGAGAACCAAUCUUAUUUUCAAAUAAGAUUUAUUAUUUAAAUUGAUCUUUUAGUACAUCUUGAAAUGACAAUAUCUGCCACGGCUCUCCGGUGGAGUCAGCCUGCCAGGCAGGGAUGCCUAAAAGCUGCUCAUGAGGAAAAGAGUUUCAUGGAAACUCCCUCCUGGAGUCUGGCACCCUCCCUAACCCAUAAAUUAAUUUUCCACUCCCGCGUUAGUCUAGUGUAUGGAUCCACGUGCUCUCUAUUUAGUAUUACCCGAUUAUAAGUGCCUUUUAAGAUUGAAUUCUGACAUAGCUAAAGCCUCCCCCAGUGUUCCAAGAUCCCAGAUAACAGCAAAGACUUUAACCUACUCAGCAACUAAUUAAGCAUUACAAUACAGGAGGGCAUUAACUCAACUGGUCUGCGGAAAGAGCCUGGGAAUCUCACUGAGAUAGAAAUCUUUAGUACAGGCUACAUUCCAUGCCAAGAGCAAGUUGAUAUACUCUGCUGAUAAAUGGAGAUUCUCCAGACAAGAUAAGAUUUAGCAAGGCCUAGGAAUUUAGGGGUAUGUGACACUACAUUAUUCUUGAGGCCUGCCAAGAGUAAUUACCCCCUGGUGCUUUUAACACUAAAGUGUGAAAUUCUUCCCUGUCAGUAGGCUGAUCCUAGGCAGGGCUGCUAAUCUCUAUUGUAAACCUUUAUUUGAUUCCUGCAAAUUCCUUUCGCAGUCAUUCUCUUGUAUCUGGUAAAUUUCAGUGUACCUUGUCUGAUGUGAUUUGUAGCUCCUGGUAAUUUUCUGUAUUAUAAAAUAGUCUAAUGCUCGACCUGAGAUUACAUUCAGAUUCAACACCUCUCCUGUGUGCGUCUGUUUGUCAAUUAAUCCUACGCUUUGCCCACCUGCCCCAGAGACCCGUUCCACGCAGACACAGGGACAGAGAGGGUCUGUGGCAAAUAUCUUUACAACGAGAAAGAAGACAAUAUAUUUAUUGAUGUAAAGACUAAGCUUUUUUGAGCAUCUGUGAGAAGGCUCAGUGUAAAAUGUCUGUAGGAUGCAAAGCUAGAAAUCUGACCUUAAUCAAUAUAUAAAAAAUGUGCAGGGGCUAAAAUUAUGGCUCUGUGGGUAAGAACACUGAAUACUCUUCCUGAGGUUAUGAGUUCAGUUCCCAGCAACCUCAUGGUGGCUCACAACCAUGGGAUUUGAUGCCCUCUUCUGGUGUGUCUAAAGCGAGCUAUAGUGUUCUCAUAUACAUAAGAUAAAUAAAUCUUUAACGAAAUGUCC
ensembl:lincRNA